rnacentral:rRNA from 1 species
CACGCCGUAAACGAUGGAUACUAGCUGUUCGGAGCAAUCUGAGUGGCUAAGCGAAAGUGAUAAGUAUCCCACCUGGGGAGUACGUUCGCAAGAAUGAAACUCAAAGGAAUUGACGGGGGCCCGCACAAGCGGUGGAGCAUGUGGUUUAAUUCGAUGAUACGCGAGGAACCUUACCAAGGCUUAAAUGUAGAUUGACAGGACUGGAAACAGUUUUUUCUUCGGACAAUUUACAAGGUGC